AGCGAACGCUGGCGGCGUACUUAACACAUGCAAGUCGAACGGGGGAUCGUCAGUGUAGCAAUACAUCGGCGGUUCUAGUGGCGCACGGGUGAGUAACACGUGGGUAACCUGCCCUUGAGUUCGGGAUACCCUUUCGAAAGGAAGGCUAAUACCGGAUACGUUCCUCGGAUUGCCAAAUCUGGGGAGGAAAGGUGGCGCAAGCUGCCGCUCUUGGAGGGGCUCGCGGCCUAUCAGCUAGNGGUGAGGUAACGGCUCACCAAGGCUAUGACGGGUAGCUGGUCUGAGAGGACGACCAGCCACACGGGAACUGAGACACGGUCCCGACUCCUACGGGAGGCAGCAGUGGGGAAUUUUCCGCAAUGGGCGAAAGCCUGACGGAGUGACGCCGCGUGGGGA
rnacentral:rRNA from 1 species